CCCAUCCCCCCCGGCCACCCCACGACCCACCGAAGCGGUUUCUCCUCCCCAGCUCGCGGUUAGUUUUCCCAACGCUGCUCCACCGGCCUGCUCGCGAUCUGUCCGCCCUUCCUCCCGGCGAUGACCCCGGGACUGGCACCGCCGGUGAAUCUCUGCGUGCCCCCACGGUCAAGGCGAUGCCCUCCUGUUCCCGUCGCUGCUCACUCCUCCCAUCGCCGGUUUUCCCGAUGCCACUCCGCCGCCCAGCUCACGGUACGUCUGCUGUUCCUCCCAUCGCCGAUCCGAGGACUGGCGCCGCCGGCCAGCUCCUGCAUGUCCCCGCAGCCAAGGCGAUGCCCUCUCUUUCUGACGUGGCUCACUCCUCCCGUUGUUGUUCCGUGAGACCGCUCAAUUCUCUGCAUCGGCGGCGACGGCAACAGAAGCGUUGGACGGACAGUAGGGAUCCAAUCUUCUCCGCGACAGCUUGAUAUUCCUCCCGUGUAGAUGCUCCAGCGAGUCAUGUGCCCCAUCGAGCUCCUCGCCCUGCGCAAGUUGCUCCUUGAUCUACCUCACCCUGAAUCCCCAAGAUAAAAGAUUCUUGGAGAGGAGGAUCUUAACUAGUUCUAGUUUAUUUGGACCAUGGCGGAUGUGAUUUCUGGAUGGAUAUUGGUUGAGAUUUUUUUUUCAAUCGGCUGCUGUUUUACUCCCCGCUUGGUGCGAUGGUGCCACCGCUGCCUCCUGGGAUGACUGGAUCUACCCUGGUGCCAACGACUAUUCGACAAUAUGCUGAAUGCCAAGACCUCCUUGCGAAACUGUCAGGUGAUGCUUGCCAGUGCUGGUUCAGUCUCGUUCCCCAUUGUCAUCAGUUUGUACUUCAGCUCCUGCAUAUUUUGUUCUGGUUCCUGCAGGAGAUGGGUCCAGGAAACUGCAGUCUUCUCUGCAUUUAUGUUUUUUGUUAAUAGUUCAAGUUAUGCAGUAAAGGUUUGAUCAGGGUGCCAAUUACAUGAUUUUCUUACAGAAAUACCUUUUAUUUCCUGAAAUCCUAUCAGUAUGUCUUCUUAGAUUGCACUGCACCUAUUAAACUUUGGGCAUAAUAUGCAGUAUCGAUCAAUCUAAACUUAUCUAUAUAUAGGUGUUGAUCGUUCAGAUUUGAGGUUUCUGAUUGUUACACUUUAUGGCAUGCUUAGUAGAACUUCUUGUGUGACAAAGAGGUGCUCAUAUGCUCAUAAAUCUUAUAUCUAAUGAACAUUGUUGUCCAUAUGCAUGCUUAUGUAUUCUCAACGGGUAUUAUAUUUGGACAACCUACAUCAAACACUCUCCCAGAUGAUUGGAUUUCCACACUCCAAGUGAGAUUCUAUCAUAAGUCCCUGAUUGAGUGGCUAACAAAUGCGGACCGAAUUAGGUGCAGGGAUUGAACCGAUGCAUACAGUUUCCUACCAUUUAAGCUGGGCAAGCACUUAUCACGCUGCAGCUGGCAGUGCACCGGAUGAAUUUUGCACAUGGACAUGAAGUGCAUCAGAGAAGUAUUAUCUACGGAUGUGGUGAGCGAGGGUAAGGAUGUGGCAUCUGCAAAGCAAGUUGGACACCAGGACUGCUUGCUGUAAAUUGCACAUGCUGGAGUUGCUUGCUUGCUGGAGAUGGCGCGUGCACAGACUUUUUUUUAGGGAGAAUAGAGCUUCGUGCACAGAUAUUCGUUUGCCAAUCUCAAACAAUCCUUUUCUGUACAUAAAUCAAUCAGCCGUAUGAGGGGCACCAGAACAUGGAGUACAAAUGACGGAAUUAGUUUGCUUUGGAUCGUAAAUACUGAAUUUCACAACAUCGAUGAAUGACUGGAGCAUGUGCAUGCAA